rnacentral:lncRNA from 1 species
AGUAAUGAGAAAAAAAGUUUGGAAAAGCCAUCCGGCCCCUCCUCUUCACAGCUUUGGGUAAAAUUUAGCUCCCAAGGGUUGAACCCAACCCCUUCCUUCAGCAGGGAACCCCCCGCCGGUCCUUUUGGAGCACUUGGGUACCAGGUGGGAAGCCCCAGCUCCGCUGGAUUGGCGCCUGCACACCUGAAGGGGACAGGAAUCAGAGAAAUAAAAGGAGAAAAGUCACCCGAGUGGAAAGAGCAGCAGCAAGCCGGGAGGAGUUUCUUCCCCCUUAUUCCUCCCGAAGGAAGAGCAGCUGGCCCAGAGCGCAGGCAAAUCGCUUUGGCCCCCCUGACCCCGGCAAUCUCCCUCCCCUGUGCUCAAAACCCGAAAUCCCACCGCAGGGCUGCGGUGCCAGCUGCAAGGAGCGGGGCAGGAAACAGAGCCGGCAGCUGCUGCAGCACAGCCCCAGGUCACCGGCUCCGCUCAAAUCCUCAGGCUGACACCGAACCUUUUUGCAGGACGGCUAACAGGUGCAAAAUUCAGGGAUUUGACAGCCUGGCUUUUGGAAACCCUAGCUGGAAAAGCCAUCAGCCUGCUGUGCUCGCCUCGAGGUGUUUCUCCGAGUUACGGCCACCAGAAGGUGCGGAGGCACCGCGGCCCCAGCAGCAGCUGCGCAGCGGAAGCCAGCCGCGCGCUGCAAUUAAACAGACGACCUUUCACAGCCUUCGCUAAUUGUCUGCAGGCAAAGGGAAGCACUGUCCAGUUAAGGAAGUUGGAAGGCUCCGGGAAAAGCUCAGGGAGUUCAGAAGGCUGCUGAUGAGCGGAUUAUGUUACUGCUGGUUCUUAGACUUCCUUCCAUAGGGACACUUACAGAUAUAUUGCAGCCUGCACGGAAAAGCCACGCGCUCGUCAGACCGGCCAGCGUUUAGACCCUAGAUCUAAAACUCAGAAAAAGGGAUAGAAAGGCUGAGGCAAAGUCCCGUACAGCGUCACGGCGCAGGGGCUAAUAAAUCUACCUUGGAGUUUCCA